CCCGCACGUGUAGCAAUCUAACUUUUUCACUUAGGUCCAACACAGAAUCGUCCUCUUAAUUAAAGGGUAUCUUAUUGAGAACUCCUUUCUUGAUGGUAUUGGCUAACCUCGAAAUAUCGGCAGCAUUGUUGUAAAGACCCAAAGAAAGUCGAAUCCCAUCUCUAUAUUGAGAAGCGUACACACCUUCGUUUUUGAGAAAUGCAUCCCACUCAGGGUUCAAGAUUUUCGCAACGUAAGAGUGGGUAGACCUUUUCUUUGGAUCCUUUGAGCCGAUAAUUGUUACACCAAGCUUGGAUAGCUCAUCAACCAGCGACUUUCCAAGUUCACGAAGAUAUUGUUCUAUAUUUUCAAAACCGAUGUCCAUUAAGAAGCUAAGGUAAUUGUUCAAACACAGAGUAGUAAUCAGCGACUUGUUCAAAUGUUCAAAUCUUCGAGCCGUAGAAAAAUAAAUAGGAUUCAGAUUGACUAGUAAAUUUGCAUCAAGAUUUUCAAUGGCUCCAGCUCCAACAAUUGGAGGUACAUUUUUAAGUUGUGGAAGCACAUCGGGAGCAACAUAUAAUACUCCCAAACCAGUCGGACAGCUUAAACCUUUAUGACAUGCAAAUGCGCAUGCAGAAACAUUUAAUUCCUGAACAUCUAUGCUGCUUAACCCAACCUGUUGGGUCAUGUCGACUAAUACAUGAAUGUUUUCAGGCCGAAAUUUAUUGCAAAUGUCUUUCACGUUAUUUAGCUGUCCCGAAUGGAACAUGACAGAUGAUAUGCCAAUUGCUUUUGUCUUUUCAUCUACAUACGGUUCAAACGUUGAGGCAUCAGCAUAAUAUAUAUCUUUAGACGGUAUUAAUCGAACUUCUAAACCAGCUUCUUGAAGGGAAAUCCAUCCAAAGCCAUGAUUAGGGUGCUCUCCAUCUAAUAAUACCACGUUAUCGCCAGGUUGAAAAUGCAUAGAGCGUUGGAACAAGUUCAAUCCCUCAGUAGUGUCCCUAGUGAAUGCAAUUGAGUCAGAACUAGACGCAUUUAAAUAUUUUGCAACUAACUCUCUAGUUUCUUCUGCUUUCUGUUGCCAUAGUGGUUUUGGAUUAGGAUUGUACAAACCCCAAUCAACGUAUUCAUUUAUAGUAUUGGCAACUAUAGAGUUCAUGGGUGGUUGAAAUGAAAGGUUGAAAAAGGUUAUGUUUUCAUUUUUUUCGACUAAUGGGACCUGCUUACGAAAAGCUUGAAUCCUUGCGAUGCCUUCUGAAACAGUCAUUUGGAAAUUAUUCUGCGAACAAUUAACUAGGUCUGAGAGCCAUAUUUAUGUACUUAUUUAAAUUGAUAAACAGAUAAGUAAAGGAUAUUCAUAUCCGACACUUAUUUAUCUUUAGGAGAUAUAUGUCCGCAAUUGACGGUCAUCAAUGACCAUGUUAUUCAAAACGGCGAAAAUGUUAAUAUCAGCAUUUUUAAUUUAUUUGAAAUUGAUUAUAAAUAGUCC